AACCAUAGAAACCUGCGGAGUACCUGCGGAAGGAUCAUUACAGAGUUGCAAAACUCCCUAAACCAUUGUGAACGUUACCUAAACCGUUGCUUCGGCGGGCGGCCCGGGUCCUUCCCGGCGCCCAUCGGCCCUCGCGGGCGCCCGCCGGAGGUAAACCAAACUAUUGCAUUGUAUGGCCUCUCUGAGUCCUCUGUACUGAAUAAGUCAAAACUUUCAGCAAUGGAUCUCAGAUCGGAAGAG
rnacentral:misc_RNA from 1 species